CGCACAUUGCGCUUCCUGGUAUUCCGGGAAGCAUGCUCGUUUCAGAAUCAUUAAAAAUCUGCAACCAGGCAUUUAUAGAGAAAUGAUUCGUCAUUUUGGCCUAAUAAUCUCCUUAGUGCAAGUAAGUCGAUUAUUAUUGUUUUGGGGUUAAACCCAAAACAUAUGGUGCAUGUUGAGUGUAUUUGUCAAUCCUCUGGGGCUGACAGUCACUUUAAAAUGAGUUUGUGCCCACAUCAACAGGGAUGACCUGGUGGCUUCGAAGCGCUUACAACUUGUUUACGCUUUCAUUGCUGCUUAACUUUCCUCAUUUUGUGACGUACAAAAACCACAAUUUACACAGUUCUGGCUUUUGCUUCUGGCAUGGCUGUUCUGAUAAUUUGGUCUGAAAUCGAGCAAGAAAACCCGCUGAACUUAA
rnacentral:misc_RNA from 1 species